ensembl:lincRNA Gm20619 predicted gene 20619
AAUGCGCUUGGCACGUUUUCUUUCCGGACACAUCCAGUGGAUACUGUGCAGACCUUCUCCAGCUAAUCUCAGGAAGGCUGAAGUUUUUAGACGGCUACCCUUCAUAUUUAGGGAGAGAAUAUAACCAUGUGGAAAGUCUAGUCUUCAUGUGGAACAUCUGUUACGAAGAAAUUCUACUUGGAAAGCUUGUCUGCUCUAUUAACCCAUCCCUGUUGCUCACUUGGAAGAAGAGGGCCUUCACUUUCCACUGUAAGAAGAAGGUCUUCUGUUGCUCUGAACGCUUCUGUUUAGAGACCUUUCUUCACUGUCCCCAAGGGAAGUGGUUUUGCUUCCUCCAUCCACGUACACAGCUCUUGAGGACCGAGUCUCUGACCUGCGACUUGUAAAGAUUCUGGGAAGUUUCUAGAGGGGCAAUUCAUGAAAGAAAGACUCAGUAACUUGAAUCUGCAAAUUUCAAAAUGUGGAAAAAGAAUUUUAUCAGUACCAUAGGAUGAGACUGCUUUUACCUAAGAAGAAAGCUCUCAUGGUAUUUGUCAAAUUCCAGAACAGCGAGGGCACAGCCAUUUAUAACAGUUCCUUAUGAAUCCUUUACAUGGUAGUGUGCACACUUGGACCAGCAAAUAUUUAAGAUGAAAUGCUACCCAGUGGAUUACAUCUGAGAAAGAAAGCAAUGAGUACUUGAGGACUCCUGCUACUAGUGUGCCAUGGACCCUCUAUUGCAAUGACAAAAGUGAAAACAUAAAAUGUCAACCUCUGGACCAAUGUGUGGUUAGUGCCACCGCAGCA